ensembl:Y_RNA Y_RNA Y RNA
GGUUUGUCUGAGCACAGUGGUGUUUACAACCAAUUGAUCACAGCCACGUAGAUUUCUUUGUUCUUUCUCCAGUCCCACUACUUCACUUAACCAGCCUUAA